GCAAGAGUAGUAUGGAGUGGAAAACUUUCCAAACCUCUCUCUUGAAGAUGCAAUAACAAAGUUAGUGUAAGAUGAGAUUGUGGCUGUUUAGCCCUGACUUACUGUAUCCAUCCACCGCUUCCAGCUCCUGGGGAGUGCUCACAGCAGUGUCUCCAUUGCUUCGCAGCGUAACGAGCAGUUCAUCAAACUGAAUUGGGAUGAGAGUCCUUCCUUUUCUCCCGGCUGCAGCUGUUUGCAGGGGCUGCAGAAGAUGGGACUCCGCCCCAGUGCUCCCCCAAGAAAUUUGGCAUCUGUAAUCAAACCAUCACACUAAUUACUGGAAACCAGAGCCCGGCGAGGCUGCAGACAGGCCCUCAAGGAGACGUUCCCAAAAUAACCGGAGAAAUUAUUUCUUUUUUUCCUAUUCUAAUGGCUUUCCUUCUUCUUCAAUGGAAAUAAUUCUGCUGCAGCCGGAUAACGCCUCAGACCUAUUUUUGAAAUGUGGGUUAAACGUUAAAUUUGGAAGCGGGGAGACGGCAUCCGGAGCUGCUUUCAUUUUGGGGAGGAAAAACAAAAAAAAAAAGAAAGAAAAAAAGUGUGAUUUUUAUGAAGAUGGUGCCCCAGUUUCGGCUGGGGCCGCCUCAGGAACAUGCCGGCAUCAGCGCUGGCGCCGCUGCAGUAAACAUUGCGAAGUGCCGUUCUUGCAUCAAACCCGAGGCACCGAGCCCUGCCGCUCUGCACGAGGGCUGAACCAGUGGGUCGGGCCGGAGCGAAAAGAGCACAAGCUGUGAGGAACGCGGCGGAAAAGAGCACUUUGCGGCGGCUGCGUGCGGCGCUGAAGGCACAGCGGC
ensembl:lncRNA